rnacentral:ncRNA from 1 species
UGGCAAAUCAGUCGAAAGUCUGAGACGCAAAGCUAAAGGGCCUGUAAAAUGGCAGCCAGUUGC